AGGGGUGGGGCUCAGUGGUCAAGAGCACUGGCUGCUCUUCCAGAAGACCCAGGUUCAAUUCCCAGCACCCCCA
rnacentral:tRNA from 1 species